UGGCGGCGCGCUUACACAUGCAAGUCGAGCGAGAAAGGGGAGCAAUCCCUGAGUAAAGCGGCGUACGGGUGAGUAACACGUGGGUAAUCUACCUUUUAGUGGGGAAUAACCCUGGGAAACCGGGGCUAAUACCGCAUAAUCCUGUGAAGGGAAAGCAGCAAUGCGCUGAAAGAGGAGCCCGCGGCCGAUUAGCUAGUUGGUGGGGUAACGGCUCACCAAGGCGAUGAUCGGUAGCCGGCCUGAGAGGGCACACGGCCACACUGGCACUGAAACACGGGCCAGACUCCUACGGGAGGCAGCAGUGGGGAAUCUUGCACAAUGGAGGCAACUCUGAUGCAGCGACGCCGCGUGAGCGAUGAAGCCCCUCGGGGUGUAAAGCUCUUUCGGCAGGGACGAUAAUGACGGUACCUGAAGAAGAAGCUGCGGCUAACUACGUGCCAGCAGCCGCGGUAAUACGUAGGCAGCGAGCGUUGUUCGGAAUUACUGGGCGUAAAGAGUGUGUAGGCGGUGCUCUAAGUUCGGUGUGAAAUCUCCU
rnacentral:rRNA from 1 species